rnacentral:snoRNA from 1 species
AAGCAGCUGAUGAUACUUUCUUCCCCAUGGGGCCUGGUGUGCAAUGGCUGCAGACAGUAGCAGCUCCCUUGGUGGUGUACACAGUCUGUGACUGGUAUGGGCUGUAAUUAGGGACCUUGGAGACAGUC